GGAGAGAGGGCGUGUGGAGAGAGAGAGCGGAUUGGUUGGAGAGCUGGUACGGGACGGCGGCGAGGUUGGAGAGCCGGGGCGGCGGCGGGGAAGAGCCGGAGCGGCGGCGGGGAAGUGCGGCCGCCGGUGCCGGGGCUGCCCGCGUCGUCGUGUGGGGGCUACCAGCUCGCCGUGGAGGCGGCGUCCCCCCGGCCCGGCGUCGUCGUGCGGGUGAGGCGAGGUUGGAGAGCCGGGACGGCGGCGAGUGGGGCGGCGGCGGGGAAGAGCCGGAGCGGCGGCGGGGAAGUGCGGCCGAGUGUCGGACUUGCCUCGGGGUCAACCGAGCGGGAACGAGAGGUGGACACCGCGGCCACCGCACACGCGUUGCCUACUCCGGGGCGUGAGCGCGGCGCCGUCACGCCUACCUCGAGGCGGCUCAGGUACUCGAGGGCUCGGCCCGCUGCCGCGCAUAACUAGACUUUUUCCGGUGGUUGGGUAUAAUAUUAUAGGAAACUAUAGUUCAAGAUCGACAUGUAAUUGGUUUCGUAGAGAAAAGACUAGUCAAUAUGUAGUUAGUUUCGUAGUGAAAAGACUAGUUAAUUCCUUUUGUACAGUCCUACCAACUACGAACUACGUUGCCCUCAGUGUACACAUAACGGCUGUCAAAGUUAAAUUAGCCCGAAGGCUGACCUCCUUGUCUUCGCUGAGAGAUAAGAGGUCGGUAAUUCAAGUAAUGACUUAUUGUUUUAGUCGAAGUCUGGAUUCCAAACUAGUCCUUUUAAGUCGAUCCAGAUAGAUACAUGUAACCAGAAUUAAAAAAAUCUACUCGUUUGACAGAUGAAGGUAUCCUUCACCUACCCUACUAGAUGUACCGGAGGACGUCGUGGCCUAAGUUCCUUAGUCAUGUUGUCACACCGGAGAAUGAUCUGUCAAAAGAAGAGAGACAAAAGUUCUUACGAUCUGUGAAAAGUCAAAAGAAACUACAACUAGUUUUAUAAAUUUAUAAACCUACGCAAAAGAACUUAUGUCCAGACUAGAAACUAAUAGACGUAUCAUAUAGAUUGGUGAGACUGAAAGGAAAUAAUAGUUCUACGUAGUUUGGCGGUAGGGGAGGCUCUCCUUCCGGUUGAGUUGUAGGUACAUGUUCUUAAAGACAUUACAUCAAUACACUUGAUCUCCACACCAAAUCGUUACAUGGAGUAUGUGACGACCAACUACUGUUUCUAUACAGUCUCUACCUCCUGGAGCAUUGGCUGGUACAACCCUCGAACACUUCUUUAUCAUACAACGACAUACCUCCUUAGGAAAUUUAUUGAGUACGAUAAAAGCAAAGUCUACGUUGGAAGUUGAUGUCUUCAAAGUCAAAGGACUAACGGCCAAAGAAGAAACGCUCAGAAGGAAAAAGAAUACAAGUGUUCCACAUGGUAACAGAUAUCAUAAACGGUUCAAAUUAGCUUACAGAUCUAUUUUACAAAACGUACCGUCCUUUAUUCGUUCAUCCAUAAACUUCCACUUGAAACAUACUUAGGAGGCCGAGGGCGGAUGGGUAAGAAGUUACUCAAUCAUAGGAGUUC
rnacentral:rRNA from 1 species